rnacentral:tRNA from 1 species
GAGGCUUUAGCUCAGUUGGUAGAGCGGCUCCCUUUUAAGGAGCAUGUCGAAGGUUCAAGUCCUUCAAGCCUCA